GGCAAAGCAUAUUAGAGUACUUGGACAAGAAAGACCAAGGUGAUGGAUCUGUGCGUCAUCUUAUCAGGAAUUGGAAGACAAAUGUAGGAGGGAAUUCUUGCUUCCAAAUGAUGCUAAAUUACAGUUUAUAGACAACAAAUUUACGACUCUUGAUGAUGAUUCAUUUUCACGUCUAUCAGACCAGUCCGAUGUACAACUGUUUCUUGAUGGAAAUCUUCCCGACAAACAAGGUAUACACAUAAGAGUACUUGGACCAACGAGAUUGAGACGAUGGGUGUGUGCGUCAUCUUAUCAGGAAUUGGAAGACAUAUGUAGAACCGAAUUCUCGCUUCCAAAUGAUACUCAUAUACAAUUUAUUGAUGCCGAAAGUACGCUUCUUAAUGAGUAUGCAUUUUCACUUCUAUCAGAUCAAUCCAAUGUUGAAAUAAUUAUCGAUGG